GUGCUCGCUUCAGCAGCACAUCUACUAAAAUUAGAACAAUACAGAGAGUAGCAUGGCCGCUGCACAAGGAUGACACACAAAUUCAUGAAACACUCUAUAUUUAA
rfam:Tupaia chinensis contig179729, whole genome shotgun sequence.